rnacentral:rRNA from 1 species
UACGAAGGGUGCAAGCGUUAAUCGGAAUUACUGGGCGUAAAGGGUGCGUAGGCGGUUCGUUAAGUCUGUCGUGAAUCCCCGGGCUCAACCUGGGAAUGGCGAUGGAUACUGGCGAGCUAGAGUGUGUCAGAGGAUGGUGGAAUUCCCGGUGUAGCGGUGAAAUGCGUAGAGAUCGGGAGGAACAUCAGUGGCGAAGGCGGCCAUCUGGGACAACACUGACGCUGAAGCACGAAAGCGUGGGGAGCAAACAGG